CACGGAGUUAGCCGGAGCUUACAAACAGUACCGUCAUCGUCGGUGGUGUUGACACCGACUUAUUCUUCCCGUUCUUGCGAAGUUUACAUCCCGAGGGAUUUCAUCCUUCACGCGGCGUUGCUGGGUCAGGCUUUCGCCCAUUGCCCAAAAUUCCCGA
rnacentral:rRNA from 1 species